CCAGUACCGUGAGGGAAAGGUGAAAAGCACCCCGGAAGGGGAGUGAAAGAGAUCCUGAAACCGUGUGCCUACAAGUAGUCAGAGCCCGUUAAUGGGUGAUGGCGUGCCUUUUGUAGAAUGAACCGGCGAGUUACGAUCCCGUGCAAGGUUAAGCAGAAGAUGCGGAGCCGCAGCGAAAGCGAGUCUGAAUAGGGCGCAUGAGUACGUGGUCGUAGACCCGAAACCAGGUGAUCUACCCAUGUCCAGGGUGAAGUUCAGGUAACACUGAAU
rnacentral:rRNA from 1 species